rnacentral:tRNA from 1 species
CAAAUCAUAGCUUAAAAUAAAGCAUCUUGCUUACACCAAGAAAAUGUCUAAUAACUAGACUGUUUUGAUAG